GAUGAACGCUGGCGGCGUGCCUAAUACAUGCAAGUCGAGCGAACAGACGAUGAGCUUGCUCCUCGGUCGUUAGCGGCGCACGUGUGAGUAACACGUGUAUAACCUACCUAUAAGACUGGGAUCACUUCGGGAAACCGGAGCUAAUCCCGUAUAAGAUAUUGAACCGCGUGGGUCAUUGGUAAGAUACGGUUGUGCUGGCACGUAUAGAUGGAUCCGCGCCGGAUUAGCUGGUUGUUAAGGUAACCGCUUACCAAGGCAACGAUGCGUAGCCGAAGUGAGAGGCUGAUAGGCCACACUGGAACUGGGACACCGUCAAGAGUACUGAGGGACGCACCAGUAGGGUACCUUACGCAACAGGCGAAAGUUUGACGGAGUGACGGCGCGUGAGUGAUGACGGUGUCCGGAUCGUAAAGCUCUCUUAUUAGGGAAGAACAAAUGUGUAAGUAAAUAUGCACGUCUUGACGGUAAUUAAUCAGAAAGCCCCGGCUAACUACGUG
rnacentral:rRNA from 1 species